rnacentral:lncRNA from 1 species
GCCUGGUGCGCUGGAUGGUAAAGGGCAGGCGGUGUGUGUGUGUAGGAGAGAGACCAACGAAGGGAGUGUGUAUGUGUGUGUGUGUGUGUGUUUAUUGUCCUCGCCGGCCUUUUCGAGAUCAGCGAGGGGAUUUGACUCGGCCGCUCGCAGCCAAAUCCAGCUAUCUGCUGUGUUCAGAUGCUGCGGUUGGUUCCAGCGCGGAUGAAGGGGGCCCCACGGAGGACGGGUCCAGUUAUCCAGGGUGGAGGGAGCAGGUGGAGUCGUCGGCCAGAGGACGGAGGCCCGAGAGUCUCGAGCACACGGCUGAAGAGAAACACAGAAGGAUGGAGGAGAGGAAAACAAAGGUGCUGAACAUGCUUUCCAAACUGCAGGACGACACGCCUCGUCAGCCAAACGGCAACAAAGGUCACUCCAACUUCGAGGAAUUCGACUUUUUGGCAAAGUAUUGCAUUUUCAGUCAGGAGAAGCUGGCGGAGUACAAAAGAGCUUUUGAAGCAGAGGACGGUGAUGGUGACGGCUACAUCUCCUGCCUUCAGGUUCUACUCGCUCUAAAAAACAUCAUUCCUCCAGAGCUGCUGUCUGACGAAGAAGAGAUCUACGUUUACAGGGUCUGCUUUACUGCGUCUGAAACAUGCAAAUACACAUAUAUAUAUGUGUAUAUAUGUGCACAUAUAUACACAUAUAUACGUGCAUAUAUAUGUGCAUAUAUAUAUAUAUAUAUAUAUAUAUAUAUGCACAUAUAUGUGCACAUAUAUAUGCACAUAUAUACGUGCAUAUAUAUAUGUGUAUAUAUGUGUAUAUAUGUGUAUAUAUGUGUAUAUAUGUAUAUAUAUACA